rnacentral:ncRNA from 2 species
GGUCCUGAGUACCAGCUGCAAGCCCCGGCUCGCUGGUCGGCAACCCUCCGCUGCGGUGGGGUGCCCCGGGUGACGACCUGGCGACGGCGAUCGACUGUCGCAAGCGCAGCCC